rnacentral:rRNA from 1 species
GAUGAACGCUGGCGGCGUGCCUAAUACAUGCAAGUCGAGCGAACGGACGAGAAGCUUGCUUCUCUGAUGUUAGCGGCGGACGGGUGAGUAACACGUGGAUAACCUACCUAUAAGACUGGGAUAACUUCGGGAAACCGGAGCUAAUACCGGAUAUUAUUUUGAACCGCAUGGUUCAAAAGUGAAAGACGGUCUUGCUGUCACUUAUAGAUGGAUCCGCGCUGCAUUAGCUAGUUGGUAAGGUAACGGCUUACCAAGGCAACGAUGCAUAGCCGACCUGAGAGGGUGAUCGGCCACACUGGAACUGAGACACGGUCCAGACUCCUACGGGAGGCAGCAGUAGGGAAUCUUCCGCAAUGGGCGAAAGCCUGACGGAGCAACGCCGCGUGAGUGAUGAAGGUCUUCGGAUCGUAAAACUCUGUUAUUAGGGAAGAACAUAUGUGUAAGUAACUGUUCACAUCUUGACGGUACCUAAUCAGAAAGCCACGGCUAACUACGUG